rnacentral:rRNA from 1 species
AUGGGGGAGGCCUCCGAGUAUGACGGGGUGGAUGUGGCGGCUGUAUCGGCGAGGUUGCUGGAGCUGGUGGCCGACGACGACGUGACGGCGCUCGUUGACCUCCUCGCCGCGCACCCGCUCCUCGCGGAUGAGCCGGCGCCGUGGUACUCUCCGGCGCGGGGCGCGGAGCCCAUGACGCCGCUCAUGGUCGCCGCCGCGUACGGGUCCGUGGCUUGCCUCGACGCCCUCCUCUCGCCGCCCCACCUCGCCGACCCCAACCGCGCCUCCGCCUCCUCGCUCUCCACCCCGCUCCACCUCGCCGCCGCAGGCGGCGCUCCAUCCGCACCCACCACCGUUUCCCGCCUCCUCGCCGCCGGCGCCGACCCUACCCUCCUUGACCAUCUCCACCGCCGGCCGUCAGACCUCGUCGCGCUGCCGCCCAACUCGUUGCCCCUCAAGAACCACAUCCUCUCACUCCUUGGCGCCCGGAAGGAGUGGCCACCGGACCCCUCACUCCCGGACAUCAAGAACGGCGCAUACGCUUCCGACGACUUCCGCAUGUAUUCCUUCAAGGUCCGCGCGUGCUCCAGGGCCUACUCCCACGACUGGACGGAGUGCCCCUUCGUCCACCCAGGAGAGAACGCGCGGCGGAGGGAUCCGAGGAAGUACCACUACAGCUGCGUGCCGUGCCCGGAGUUCAAGAAGGGCGCCGGGUGCAGGAGAGGGGACAUGUGCGAGUAUGCGCACGGGGUGUUCGAGAGCUGGCUCCACCCGGCGCAGUACCGGACGCGCCUCUGCAAGGACGGCAUCGGCUGCGCGCGCCGCGUCUGCUUCUUCGCUCACACGCCAGAAGAGCUCCGGCCGCUGUACGUGUCCACAGGCUCGGCCGUGCCGUCGCCCCGCGGGGCGAUGGAGAUGGCCGCCAUGGGGAUGGGACUGUCAUCACCGGGAUCUUCGUUCACGCCGCCGCUGUCGCCGUCCGGUGGAGGGAGUGGCAUGUCGUGGCCGCAGCCUAACUUGCCGGCGCUGUGCCUCCCCGGGAGCGCAGGGAACUUGCACCUGAGCCGGCUGCGUACCUCGCUGAGCGCGAGGGCCAUGGCGGUCGACGAGCUUCUGGCCUCGGGGGACUAUGACAACCACCUUGGAUCGCCUGCCUCUGUGCGGUCGGCGAGGGGGAAGGCGCUUGUGCCGUCAAAUCUGGAUGAACUGUUCUCGGCGGAGAUGGCGGCCUCCCACUCGCCGCGGUACGGCGACCAGGGCGGCGCUGCGUUCUCGCCGACGCACAAGGCCGCCUUCCUGAACCAGUUCCAGCAGCAUCAGAGCUUGCUCUCGCCACGGGCUGCGGCCACCCCAGAGCCUGUCUCCCCAAUGAGCUCCCGGCUGCUCGCUGCGUUGGCGCAGCGGGAGAAGAUGCAGCAGCAGACACUGCGAAGCAUGAGCUCAAGAGACCUGGGUUCCAGCGCCCCGCUCCUGGUCGGCUCACCGGUGGUGGGCUCUAGCUGGUCCAAAUGGGGCCUCCCCUCGGGCACCCCAGACUGGGGUGCCGACAACGAUGAGCUUGGCCGUCUCAAGCGGUCGUCCUCGUUUGAUCGCCGGUCUGGGGCCAACACCGAUGAGCCUGACCUCUCAUGGGUCAAUACCUUAGUAAAGGAGCCCACGCCGGAGAAAUCAUCAACCAACGGGACCAUGGCAACAGAGUCUAUUGGCAUCUUGGGCCGAUCAGCAAGCCACCACGAGAGCAUUGCCGGUGAUGACAGUGCCAUCUUGGGUCGAUCAGCGAACCACCGUGAGGGCAUCGACGGUGAGGAGGACGCCGCCACUGGUGUCAUCGGUGGCUGGCUCGAACAGCUUCAGCUCGAUGAGAUGGUAGUUUAG